rnacentral:rRNA from 1 species
UGGAGAGUUUGAUCCUGGCUCAGAUUGAACGCUGGCGGCAGGCCUAACACAUGCAAGUCGAACGGUAACAGRGAGCAGCUUGCUGCUCUGCUGACGAGUGGCGGACGGGUGAGUAAUGUCUGGGAAACUGCCUGAUGGAGGGGGAUAACUACUGGAAACGGUAGCUAAUACCGCAUAACGUCUACGGACCAAAGUGGGGGACCUUCGGGCCUCAUGCCAUCAGAUGUGCCCAGAUGGGAUUAGCUAGUAGGUGGGGUAACGGCUCACCUAGGCGACGAUCCCUAGCUGGUCUGAGAGGAUGACCAGCCACACUGGAACUGAGACACGGUCCAGACUCCUACGGGAGGCAGCAGUGGGGAAUAUUGCACAAUGGGCGCAAGCCUGAUGCAGCCAUGCCGCGUGUAUGAAGAAGGCCUUCGGGUUGUAAAGUACUUUCAGCGGGGAGGAAGGUGUUGUGGUUAAUAACCRCAGCAAUUGACGUUACCCGCAGAAGAAGCACCGGCUAACUCCGUGCCAGCAGCCGCGGUA